UACGGGGGAGCAAGCGUUGUUCGGAUUUACUGGGCGUAAAGGGCGCGUAGGCGGCCACGACAAGUCAGUUGUGAAAUCUCUGGGCUUAACUCAGAACGGUCAACUGAUACUGUCGGGCUAGAGUGCAGAAGGGGCAACUGGAAUUCUCGGUGUAGCGGUGAAAUGCGUAGAUAUCGAGAGGAACACCUGCGGCGAAGGCGGGUGCUGGGCUGACACUGACGCUGAGGCGCGAAAGCUAGGGGAGCGAACGGG
rnacentral:rRNA from 1 species